AGUACCCAUCACUACUGAUUGUUAUGGCAGACCUUGGCCGCGGGUUGGAAUGCCGUGGAGGUGUCGCGUCGCUCGGCUGGUGUGGCGUUGCGCGAUCGAGGGACGUGAGAUAUAACUGCGUGGUACGUAGUGGUGUUCCUGUGGGCUGUCACGAUGUGGCACCGAUCAUACCGCUUGAAGUUAUUCAGCAUAUCACUAGCAAAGAUGGCAUGUUUACACUGGUGAAGUAUAGUGGCUUCAGAUCAUGAUAAUGAUGCUUCUGGCCUCAUUCCUGAUGACAAUGAAGAUGAAGAUCCUACGUACCUCCCCGACCCGCGGCCAGCAACGGACACGAAUGAGGAUGAGGACCAGGACAUGGACGGGGACAUGGAUGAGGACGAGGACAAGGGCUAGUUCAAGGAUAUGGACGAGAACUAGGAUAUGGAGGAAGUCAAAGACGAGAACGAGGACGAGGACCAGGAUGAGGCCCAGGUAGUGGCCAAGAACAGCAGAAGGGCUUCCGGCGAACACAGUGUCUCUGUUGA